rnacentral:rRNA from 1 species
UACAGAGGGGGCAAGCGUUGUUCGGAAUUACUGGGCGUAAAGGGCGCGUAGGCGGCCUGUUAAGUCGAACGUGAAAUCCCCGGGCUCAACCCGGGAACUGCGUCCGAUACUGGCAGGCUUGAAUCCGGGAGAGGAAUGCGGAAUUCCAGGUGUAGCGGUGAAAUGCGUAGAUAUCUGGAGGAAUACCGGUGGCGAAGGCGGCAUCCUGGACCGGCAUUGACGCUGAGGUGCGAAAGCGUGGGGAGCAAACAGG